rnacentral:rRNA from 1 species
GAUGAACGCUGGCGGCGUGCCUAAUACAUGCAAGUCGAGCGAACGGACGAGAAGCUUGCUUCUCUGAUGUUAGCGGCGGGCGGGUGAGUAACACGUGGAUAACCUACCUAUAAGACUGGGAUAACUUCGGGAAACCGGAGCUAAUACCGGAUAAUAUUUUGAACCGCAUGGUUCAAAAGUGAAAGACGGUCUUGCUGUCACUUAUAGAUGGAUCCGCGCUGCAUUAGCUAGUUGGUAAGGUAACGGCUUACCAAGGCAACGAUGCAUAGCCGACCUGAGAGGGUGAUCGGCCACACUGGAACUGAGACACGGUCCAGACUCCUACGGGAGGCAGCAGUAGGGAAUCUUCCGCAAUGGGCGAAAGCCUGACGGAGCAACGCCGCGUGAGUGAUGAAGGUCUUCGGAUCGUAAAACUCUGUUAUUAGGGAAGAACAUAUGUGUAAGUAACUGUGCACAUCUUGACGGUACCUAAUCAGAAAGCCACGGCUAACUACGUGCCAGCAGCCGCGGUAAUACGUAGGUGGCAAGCGUUAUCCGGAAUUAUUGGGCGUAAAGCGCGCGUAGGCGGUUUUUUAAGUCUGAUGUGAAAGCCCACGGCUCAACCGUGGAGGGUCAUUGGAAACUGGAAAACUUGAGUGCAGAAGAGGAAAGUGGAAUUCCAUGUGUAGCGGUGAAAUGCGCAGAGAUAUGGAGGAACACCAGUGGCGAGGGCGACUUUCUGGUCUGUAACUGACGCUGAUGUGCGAAAGCGUGGGGAUCAAACAGGAUUAGAUACCCUGGUAGUCCACGCCGUAAACGAUGAGUGCUAAGUGUUAGGGGGUUUCCGCCCCUUAGUGCUGCAGCUAACGCAUUAAGCACUCCGCCUGGGGAGUACGACCGCAAGGUUGAAACUCAAAGGAAUUGACGGGGACCCGCACAAGCGGUGGAGCAUGUGGUUUAAUUCGAAGCAACGCGAAGAACCUUACCAAAUCUUGACAUCCUUUGACAACUCUAGAGAUAGAGCCUUCCCCUUCGGGGGACAAAGUGACAGGUGGUGCAUGGUUGUCGUCAGCUCGUGUCGUGAGAUGUUGGGUUAAGUCCCGCAACGAGCGCAACCCUUAAGCUUAGUUGCCAUCAUUAAGUUGGGCACUCUAAGUUGACCGCCGGUGACAAACCGGAGGAAGGUGGGGAUGACGUCAAAUCAUCAUGCCCCUUAUGAUUUGGGCUACACACGUGCUACAAUGGACAAUACAAAGGGCAGCGAAACCGCGAGGUCAAGCAAAUCCCAUAAAGUUGUUCUCAGUUCGGAUUGUAGUCUGCAACUCGACUACAUGAAGCUGGAAUCGCUAGUAAUCGUAGAUCAGCAUGCUACGGUGAAUACGUUCCCGGGUCU